UACGAAGGGGGCUAGCGUUGCUCGGAAUCACUGGGCGUAAAGGGUGCGUAGGCGGGUUUUUAAGUCAGGGGUGAAAUCCUGGAGCUCAACUCCAGAACUGCCUUUGAUACUGAAGAUCUUGAGUCCGGGAGAGGUGAGUGGAACUGCGAGUGUAGAGGUGAAAUUCGUAGAUAUUCGCAAGAACACCAGUGGCGAAGGCGGCUCACUGGCCCGGUACUGACGCUGAGGAGCGAAAGCGUGGGGAGCAAACAGG
rnacentral:rRNA from 1 species